rnacentral:lncRNA from 1 species
AGAGGAGAAAUAGCUACCUCUAUCAGCACCUGUGACAACCAUUAAAAUUCCGGAGAUACAACGGUUAGUAAUUGUAAAUAUUCAUUUUUAUACUGACUUUCAAAUGUCUGAACGAAUUAAAAAGACACUUGCAAACACCAAACUGUAAGUGCAGUAACACGGCUAAGCUAAAGGAGUAAAUGCAGGUACUAGAAUGAGGUUGUGUAUUCCUAAACAUGUAUUUAUUUGGAGGUAAGUUUAUUAAUGUAUUAAUUUUAUUAUAUUUUCUAUUAAAACAGAUCUACAUGAUAACCUGAAUUUAGGUGGCCAUUAUCGAUAUGACAACUCUUUGGGUAAGCUACUUUAGGUCAACGCGAUAACUCAAGAUCUUGGUUAUGUUGUGUUGGAUCCAUUGCCAGGUACGGGGCAAGAACGCACAUUCUGCACCACUCAGGGUGUUUGUUACUACAGGAGUGUCCUCAGAGGAAGCCUAGACAGAACAAGAAACAGAAGGGAUGCUAUAUCAAUUGCCGCAGCAAGUGUGAAGCAACUUGCAAGUGUAAGCAUUUGCAUAUCUUCUACUAGCUUAUAUCAGCUAUGUUGUUCGGACUCUCCAAAAUGCUCAGCACAUUCGUGUCGGAUCCUCAAAAAGUAGUCAUCCAGCAUGUGCCCGAAAACAUUUUGAAGAGUCUUGAGCAACAUAGCCUGUCAGUGCAUUUGAACAAUGUGCUCGAGAGAUUGGUCACAGCAACAACUGCAUCCCCUAUUGUAGAAUUUAUAAAUAUUAUCUCUAGCAAUGUAAAUAGCCAACAAUCACUAUCAUAUGUAAAUAUGAGCAUCCGGUAGUAUGUUAUUUCCAUGAUUGUAUAAAACAUACAUUUAAACUCAUUUUUAUCAACUGGUCCAAUGAAACGGAAUAGUCCUUUGUUGUUACAUCUUUUUUUAUUCUACUAUACGCGCAAAGGCGGAUCCAGGAUUUGGAAGCUCCGGGUGCCACCCUGUU